GCAGGCACAGGAGGCUUUUGCAUUCAGCUCCUUGAAGAGCAUCUCGAGAAUGAAGACAGACCAAGAAAUGAAUUUGAGAAAUGCUUUGCUAAAAUAAAAAGCCAAAGGGCCUAUAUUUCCUUUUUGUCCUGAUGCCCUGAAAGCGCUUAAUUAAGGAAGUAAUUUAAUUUUGAACUUUACUGACUGUCUGGUUUAUUACGCGGCAAAUGUGGGCCCUUCAGAGCUUUCAACAUUUCCUUGCUGGAAGUAGAGCAGGACUGCUGCAAACUUGGAAGAUCUCUGUUUUCUUCUUCAAGAGACCAUGAACUUAUUUUUCCCUGAGCUGGGCAGUUACUUGUAUGGAUUUACAGCAAGUGCAAUAAGCCUCCAGGCUGGAGAGAAGGAGUUUUACUGGCCAUGCAUAUGUGCUGGUGCCCCAAAAUGGGCAGAAAGGAUCAGUCCCUUCUGGAUUAAUCUCUUGAGCUACCACUCAGUUGCAACCACCUGUCGUGACCUACAGCUAACAGAGCUGAAAGGACAGUGAUUCUUUCAUGCAAGGAGAGCCAGCAGAGUGAUUGCAGCCAAGUUCUGGCUGGAGGCACCCUGGGGCUGGCUGCUGCUUUAUUGUGUUAAGAGGAUGUCAGAAGUCACAUUUUUGUUUGUCUGACCUGGAUUUAUGGAAAAACGUCUGUCAGAUGACUGGAUGCUGUAGAAAAGUCUGCUGGGAGAAUCUCCAUCAUCAGGAUCUCUAGCUGUUAUAUUGGCAACACUGGUGCCUGGGCUUUGCUCCUCUGGAAUCCGAUUCUUCACCCCUUUAUCCACCAAGGUCCAGAUCAUUGGCCUCAGCCCAGGAACCAUGUGUUGCUCUAAGUAGAGACAACACCCAGAAGAUUGUUCCAAACAAGUGGUGGAACCUCCUGGCAUGAUGGCCCCAGGUGCUAUCCUGUCUCCACUUUUGCAGAGAUGGCAGGAGAAGAGCCAUCAUAAAUAUUCUCACCAGGGACCUUGUGGAGUCUGACAAUCAGGAGACACAAUGACAGUGCCUUAAAUCCCAUCAGUGUCUCAUCAGUGACAUAGAUAAAUCAACAACUGUUAGUCAGAUCAACUGUAGUAAUUGUCAAGCUCCUGCUUCAGGAACAACCAUCCAUUGUGCUUUCCAGAGCAAAACAGCCUGCUUGUAGCACAUGCAUAUUUGUUCCCAUUUUUCUAAAUUCUUAAUAUAUCCUGACUCCAUUAGCCUUCAAAAGCUAUUUCUGACUUGUGUGUUAUGACACAAUUUCCUGCUUAUGACACAGUAAGAGACAACAACGUUUCAAAGAUCACCAGGAUUGUUUACAAGUGUGUCUGGGAAGAGAAGACUGAUCAAAAGGGAGACCUUUUUAUGUCUAGACAUUUCUGCAUGAAUAACACAAUUAUGGUGAAAUGCACACCUGCAUAAGGAGAGAACCCUAUAUGAUUGUAUUCACACCGGGUGAAAUCAACCUCCUUGUCUGAACUUGUCCAUGAAUCUUUGCAUAGCUUUAACCUCUGUAAAUGCUAACAAGUAAAACAAGCUUGUUUGGCUGUUCUUAGUGUAAAGACAGAGCCUGGAAAACUUUCAACUAUUAAGAAUACAAAUAAGAAUAAAUGAGUGACAUCAGGACAAAGCUUUCCAGUAUAAGAAUAGGAAUUAUAGCAAAACUAAAAUACUUUUUUCAGUCAUAUUUUGUUGUCAUAUGUUAAACCCUCCCACUGGUGCCAAAGCAGUAAACCUGAGAAAACCCCUACAUUUUGAGAGCAAGGGAAAAUUUUUACUCACGUGGUAAAGUAAGGCCUUUCAUCAU